AGUGAACGCUGGCGGUAGGCCUAACACAUGCAAGUCGAACGGCAGCACAGUAAGAGCUUGCUCUUACGGGUGGCGAGUGGCGGACGGGUGAGGACUCCAUCGGAAUCUACUUUUUCGUGGGGGAUAACGUAGGGAAACUUACGCUAAUACCGCAUACGCUCUACGGGUGAAAGCAGGGGAUCUUCGGAGCUUGCGCGUCUGAAUGAGCCGAUGUCGGAUUAGCUAGUUGGCGGGGUAAAGGCCUACCAAGGCGACGAUCCGUCGCUGGUCGGAGAGGAUGAUCGGCCACACUAGAAGUGAGACACGGUCCAGACUCCUACGGGAGGCAGCAGUGGGGAGUAUUAGAGAAUGGGCGGAAGCCUGAUCCAGCCAUGCCGCGGCGGUGGAGAAGGACUUCGGGUUGUAGAGCCCUUUUGUUGGGAGAGAAAAACAGCAGGUUAAUACCCCGCUGUUCUGACGGUACCCAAAGAAGAAGCACCGGCUAACUUCGUG
rnacentral:rRNA from 1 species